CGACCGAAUCGUCUCAUAACGAGCUCUGACUUUGAGCGGUGCGGCCACCAGCUGAACUCUCGCCAAGAAAAGCUUGUUUCGUCUCUCGUGUUUCUCCCCGUCGUGGGUGGUGGUACUUUCCCUCUUCUACCUUCUGUCCACCCUUUUUUGCUCUAGCCAAUUUGUGUCAGUGUUUGAAGAUUUUUUUAAAAGGAAAAAACCAGAUUGUGUGCACGGUCUUUGUGGGGGCCUAUUGUGUCGCGACCUGUGAGAAUUUGUCGUCAAACGAAUAAGUUAAAAACGAAAGAAGAAAAACAGAAACAUUAAAUCGGUACAACAAAGGGAAAAUUUGUUGUGCGCCAGUGUUUGUGUGCGUGUGACGAAGAAAAUCGUCAUCCGUCAUCGGUGAAAACGAAAAAAAAAACAAGAAAAAGCUGUAAUCAACCGGCUGAUCAAACAGAGAACCACGAGCAAAGGGACAAAAA